UGGCCCAUGUAAACUAAGCCCAGACACAGCUGGGAGAGCAGAGGAGCAGUGUGUGAGCCUGUCCCACCCUGUGCCUGGGCAGGGGCUCGUGCACACCGCAAGGGACACACCUCCAAGGACAUGCUGAGGUCAGGAGGGACCUUUUUGCCUGCAGAUCCUUAAUGACUGAUAAGGAAUGUGUAGCCUCAUACUGAAGAUCCCUGGGUAAAAUAAGACCUCUCAGGAAUGCUGGCAUGAAACAAGGAGAAAUGCCAGAACAUUAAUUCUCUGGUGCAAGCUUCUCACUGUGACACUUCUGCUAAGAUGUGACUGAACACUGGACCCUGGAGAUGCAUAUGUCAGAGAAAGAAACAUGAGCAGCAGGUUCUGGAUGAAGAGGCGACAUUCAGGAUGCCCUUUCCAUCACAUGCCAGAGUAGCUGAAAAUCUUCAGUUACCAAACAGGUGAGUGAGGUGGACAGGCUCUGAUGGCAAUGGAAAGAGAAGGAAAAGGACCUGGACAAUGUCAUGGAAAGAGAAGAAAUGAGCACAGCAAAAUGAAAUAAAAUUAGCUUGACUAAUUCGCUUGUUUCUCUGUUGACUGCACUAGAAGAGAAGCAGAGAGAGGCUACACUAUGGAAAUAAAUUUGCUUAGAUUUGCACAACUA